rnacentral:rRNA from 1 species
GACGAACGCUGGCGGCGUGCUUAACACAUGCAAGUCGAACGAGAGGAGAAGGAAGCUUGCUUCUUUCAAAUCUAGUGGCAAACGGGUGAGUAACACGUAAACAACCUGCCUUCAGGAUGGGGACAACAGACGGAAACGGCUGCUAAUACCGCAUGACAUAUAUUAAGGGCAUCCUUGAUAUAUCAAAGAUUUUAUCGCUGAAAGAUGGCCUCGCGUCCGAUUAGAUAGUUGGCGGGGCAAACGGCCCACCAAGUCGACGAUCGGUAGCCGGACUGAGAGGUUGACCGGCCACAUUGGGACUGAGAUACGGCCCAGACUCCUACGGGAGGCAGCAGUGGGGAAUAUUGGGCAAUGGACGCAAGUCUGACCCAGCAACGCCGCGUGAAGGAAGAAGGCUUUCGGUUGUAAACUUCUUUAAGGGGUAACGAGUAGAAGAGGGU